CGACGGGUGAGUAACACGUGGAUAACCUACCUAUAAGACUGGGAUAACUUCGGGAAACCGGAGCUAAUACCGGAUAAUAUAUUGAACCGCAUGGUUCAAUAGUGAAAGACGGUUUUGCUGUCACUUAUAGAUGGAUCCGCGCCGCAUUAGCUAGUUGGUAAGGUAACGGCUUACCAAGGCAACGAUGCGUAGCCGACCUGAGAGGGUGAUCGGCCACACUGAACUGAGACACGGUCCAGACUCCUACGGGAGGCAGCAGC
rnacentral:rRNA from 1 species